UAGGGAAUCUUCCGCAAUGGACGAAAGUCUGACGGAGCAACGCCGCGUGAGUGAAGAAGGAUUUCGGUUCGUAAAACUCUGUUGUUAGGGAAGAAAAAAUGUAUAGUAACUAUAUACAAAAGAGACGGUACCUAACCAGAAAGCCACGGCUAACUACGUGCCAGCAGCCGCGGUAAUACGUAGGUGGCAAGCGUUGUCCGGAAUUAUUGGGCGUAAAGCGCGCGCAGGUGGUUUAGAAAGUCUGAUGUGAAAGCCCACGGCUCAACCGUGGAGGGUCAUUGGAAACUAAUAAACUUGAGUGCAGGAGGGAAAAGUGGAAUUCCUAGUGUGGCGGUUAAAUGCGUAGAGAUUAGGAGGAACACCGGUGGCGAAAGCGGCUUUUUGGCCUGCAACUGACACUGAGGCGCGAAAGCGUGGGGAGCAAACAGG
rnacentral:rRNA from 1 species